GCGCGAGUUCCCGCUGCGCUCCACAGGCUUCAGGUGGCUAUCCCUGAAGCCUUUGGAGCACAGCGGGAACUCGCGG
rnacentral:miRNA from 1 species